AUCGAACGCUGGCGGCAGGCCUAACACAUGCAAGUCGAGCGGGCGACGUCGGCUUGCUCCUGGAGUCAGCGGAGGACGACGUAGUAAUGUCUCCUAAUGUUCCGGGUAGUGGGGGGUAACGUCAGGUAACGCCCGCUAAUCCCGCAUACGUCAUGAGUUAGAGAGUGGGGGUUCGUCAGGCCUCAUGCUAUCGGAUGAGCCUAUGUCGGAUUAGCUAGUCGGUGGGGUAAAGGCCUACUAAGGGGACGAUCCGUAACUGGUCUGAGAGGAUGAUCAGACACACUGGGACUGAGACACGGCCCAGACUCCUACGGGAGGCAGCAGUGGGGAAUAUUGGACAAUGGGCGCAAGCCUGAUCCAGCCAUGCCGCGUGAGUGAUGAAGGCCUUAGGGUUGUAAAGCUAUUUUGUCCGGGACGAUAAUGACGGUACCGGAAGAAUAAGCCCCGGCUAACUUCGUG
rnacentral:rRNA from 1 species